UUAAGUGACGAUAGCCUAGGAGAUACACCUGUACCCAUGUCGAACACAGCAGUUAAGCCCUAGAACGCCUGAUGUAGUUGGGGGUUGCCCCCUGUGAGAUAAGGUAGUCGCUUAGC
rnacentral:rRNA from 1 species